GGGCGUGUGGCCUAGUCUGGAUAUGGCACCGGCCUCCUAAGCCGGCGGUCAGGGGUUCGAAUCCCCUCGCGCCCG
rnacentral:tRNA from 1 species